GAUGGUGCCAUAUCAGCUUUGGGAGCCAAAACAAGCUCUCUCCCGCUGAAGACUCUUUAGGUGACUUCAGGGGCUCAUGGUUGGUGAUGCUGUACCUGGUCUGUUGUUACCCUGAGGAAGGCAGGCUUCACUCUGUCACUCUGUCAUCUCUCUCCAUCUGAAUCUCUGGUGUCCUUUCUAUCUGAGUGUAUGGGGAAACAAGUUGCACUUAUGUCCAAUAAUUACUGAGCAGAAAUACCAGACUGAGCAAGCUUCAUUGUAAUCUUUCCAGAGAUG